GCCGGGCUGGCUCCGCGGGUAGAGCAUGCGACUCUUGAUCUCGGGGUUGUGAGUUCGAGUCCCACGUUGGGUG
rnacentral:tRNA from 1 species